GUCUGGAAGAAUCUGAUCCACUUCAUGAUAUGUUUCAUUCCGAACCAGAUCAAGUGAAGAAAAUAAAAGUAAAACAAGGAGAUACUGUCACUCUAAAGAGUGGUGUUACUGAGAUACAUGAUCGGCUACGGUGGAAAUAUGCUGAUUCCAGAGCUUCUGAAUCCACAACCUUAUAUAGUGUCAUCGCUGUAUACGAUAAAAGGAGUGGCAGGAUCUUGGAAAGGGAAGGUCCUGAAGGGAAAUUCAAAGACAGGCUACAUCUGGACCACCAGACUGGAAAUCUCACCAUCAAGAACAUAAGAGUCAAAGACAGUGGGCUAUUUAAAGUAGAGAUCAAGAGCAACACCAAUCCACUUACAAAAACAAUCAAAGUCAAUGUCCGUGUUCCUACAAAAAUGGUAUUGGAUGAUCCAAAUGACACAUUGUUGUCAUUGAUACCAGAAGAGGACCCCAACGACACUACUACAUAUAGUGUAGAGCCCGGGAUAUAG
rnacentral:lncRNA from 1 species